rnacentral:rRNA from 1 species
UAGUAAUCGCAGAUCAGAAUGCUGCGGUGAAUGCGUUCCCGGGUCUUGUACACACCGCCCGUCACACCACGGAAGUUGGGGCGCCCGAAGCCACUUAGCUAACCCUUUUGGGAAGCGAGUGUCGAAGGUGAAAUCAAUAACUGGGGUGAAGUCGUAACAAGGUAGC